CCUACGGGAGGCAGCAGUAGGGAAUUUUGCGCAAUGGGCGAAAGCCUGACGCAGCAACGCCGCGUGAUCGAGACGCCCUUCGGGGUGUAAAGAUCUGUCAGUGGGGACGAAACUUGACGGUGGCCACAGAGGAAUCACCGGCUAACUCCGUGCCAGCAGCCGCGGUAAUACGGGGGGGGCAAGCGUUGUCCGGAAUCAUUGGGCGGAAAGAGUUUGUUGGCGGCACGUAAGGUCUGGUGUUAAAGGCAGUGGCUCAACUACUGUACGGCACUGGAUACUUGUGAGCUAGAAUGCGGUAGAGGUAAAGGGAAUUCCGUGUGUAGCGGUGAAAUGCUUAGAUAUCAGGAGGAACAUCGGUGGCGUAAGCGCUUUGCUGGGCCGUAAUUGACGCUGAGGAACGAAAGCCAGGGUAGCAAAUGGGAUUAGAUACCCUAGUAGUC
rnacentral:rRNA from 1 species